ACCCACAACAGGCAUUUACCUGGGGAGCUCUUGUUCGAGGUGAGUGUCGAGGGUCAAUCUGGAGGCUGAACAUCAUGAAGAAUCCUCUUCUCUCAGAUCUGCUCUAGAGACCAUGAUACGAGAAGCAUUUGGACAUCUCACUCCAAAGAGCCUGGACUUCAAAAGACUCAAAAAGU